AAGGAAUAUUGGUCAAUGGACGCAAGCCUGAUCCAGCCAUGCCGCGUGAGUGAUGAAGGCCCUAGGGUUGUAAAGCUCUUUCACCGGUGAAGAUAAUGACGGUAACCGGAGAAGAAGCCCCGGCUAACUUCGUGCCAGCAGCCGCGGUAAUACGAAGGGGGCUAGCGUUGUUCGGAAUUACUGGGCGUAAAGCGCACGUAGGCGGACUUUCAAGUCAGGGGUGAAAUCCCGGGGCUCAACCUCGGAAUUGCCUCUGAUACUGUUGGUCUCGAGUCCGGAAGAGGUGGGUGGAAUUCCUAGUGUAGAGGUGAAAUUCGUAGAUAUUAGGAAGAACACCGGUGGCGAAGGCGGCCCACUGGUCCGGUACUGACGCUGAGGUGCGAAAGCGUGGGGAGCAAA
rnacentral:rRNA from 1 species